rnacentral:rRNA from 1 species
AAUGGAGGAAACUCUGAUGCAGCGAUGCCGCGUGAGUGAAGAAGGCCCUUGGGUUGUAAGGCUCUUUCGUCGGGGAAGAAAAUGACUGUACCCGAAUAAGAAGGUCCGGCUAACUUCGUGCCAGCAGCCGCGGUAAUACGAAGGGACCUAGCGUAGUUCGGAAUUACUGGGCUUAAAGAGUUCGUAGGUGGUUGAAAAAGUUGGUGGUGAAAUCCCAGAGCUUAACUCCGGAACUGCCAUCAAAACUUUUCAGCUAGAGUUUGAUAGAGGAAAGCAGAAUUUCUAGUGUAGAGGUGAAAUUCGUAGAUAUUAGAAAGAAUACCAAUUGCGAAGGCAGCUUUCUGGAUCAAUACUGACACUGAGGAACGAAAGCAUGGGUAGCGAAGAGGAUU